ACGGGAGGCAGCAGUGGGGAAUAUUGGGCAAUGGACGCAAGUCUGACCCAGCAACGCCGCGUGAAGGAAGAAGGCUUUCGGGUUGUAAACUUCUUUGACAGGGGAAGAGCAGAAGACGGUACCCUGAAAACAAGCCACGGCUAACUACGUGCCAGCAGCCGCGGUAAUACGUAGGUGGCAAGCGUUGUCCGGAUUUACUGGGUGUAAAGGGCGUGUAGCCGGGUCGAUAAGUCAGAUGUGAAAUCCACGGGCUCAACUCGUGAACUGCAUUUGAAACUGUUGAUCUUGAGUAUCGGAGAGGUAAUCGGAAUUCCUUGUGUAGCGGUGAAAUGCGUAGAUAUAAGGAAGAACACCAGUGGCGAAGGCGGAUUACUGGACGACAACUGACGGUGAGGCGCGAAAGCGUGGGGAGCGAACAGGAUUAGAUACCCUGGUA
rnacentral:rRNA from 1 species